ensembl:snoRNA
UUCAUUGUUGUCAGUGAUAUGUCCCUGUUGGAACUGAAUCUAACUGGUCUAACUCAAAUAUUCGUCGCUACCACUGAGGCAACAAUGAA